rnacentral:rRNA from 1 species
GAUGAACGCUGGCGGCGUGCCUAAUACAUGCAAGUCGAGCGAACGGACGAGGAGCUUGCUUUUCUGAUGUUAGCGGCGGACGGGUGAGUAACACGUGGAUAACCUACCUAUAAGACUGGGAUAACUUCGGGAAACCGGAGCUAAUACCGGAUAAUCUUUUGAACCGCAUGGUUCAAAAGUGAAAGACGGUCUUGCUGUCACUUAUAGAUGGAUCCGCGCUGCAUUAGCUAGUUGGUAAGGUAACGGCUUACCAAGGCAACGAUGCAUAGCCGACCUGCGAGGGUGAUCGGCCACACUGGAACUGAGACACGGUCCAGACUCCUACGGGAGGCAGCAGUAGGGAAUCUUACGCAAUGGGCGAAAGCCUGACGGAGCAACGCCGCGUGAGUGAUGAAGGUCUUCGGAUCGUAAAACUCUGUUAUUAGGGAAGAACAUAUGUGUAAGUAACUGUGCACAUCGUGACGGUACCUAAUCAGAAAGCCACGGCUAACUACGUG